rnacentral:rRNA from 1 species
AGCAGUCGCCGCGGUAAUACGGAGGGUGCAAGCGUUAAUCGGAAUUACUGGGCGUAAAGCGCACGCAGGCGGUCUGUCAAGUCAGAUGUGAAAUCCCCGGGCUUAACCUGGGAACUGCAUUUGAAACUGGCAGGCUAGAGUCUUGUAGAGGGGGGUAGAAUUCCAGGUGUAGCGGUGAAAUGCGUAGAGAUCUGGAGGAAUACCGGUGGCGAAGGCGGCCCCCUGGACAAAGACUGACGCUCAGGUGCGAAAGCGUGGGGAGCAAACAGGAUUAGAUACCCGGGUAGUCCCUGUCUCUUAUAC